AAGUCGUAACAAGGUUUCCGUAGGUGAACCUGCGGAAGGAUCAUUAAUACGUUAUCCACGUUGAUCAACCAAAAUAUGUGAACUUGUUAGAGAGGUUCGCCUCUCUCACUCCCGAUUCCGUCGGAAUCGGCAUCAUACGACUUAUGCUUCGGCAUAGGUUGCAUCUAUUUGAUACACCCUUGUAACCACCCUUUUUGCUAGUUGUAUUAAUGCAGUACAGUCUGACGAGAUCUAGAUCUCGUUCGACCUAAUAUGCUGUUGUUAUUAAUUAUUUAAUAAUCUACCUUACAACUCUUAGCAAUGGAUAUCUAGGUUCUC
rnacentral:misc_RNA from 1 species